UACGUAGGGUGCAAGCGUUAAUCGGAAUUACUGGGCGUAAAGCGUGCGCAGGCGGUCCGUUAAGACAGAUGUGAAAUCCCCGGGCUUAACCUGGGAACUGCAUUUGUGACUGGCGGACUCGAGUAUGGCAGAGGGGGUAGAAUUCCACGUGUAGCAGUGAAAUGCGUAGAGAUGUGGAGGAAUACCGAUGGCGAAGGCAGCCCCCUGGGCCAAUACUGACGC
rnacentral:rRNA from 1 species